rnacentral:lncRNA from 1 species
ACAUCAUAUUCUACAUUCACACAAAACACUCAAUAUCAAAGAAUUGAAUAAUGGAGUCCAACCGCAGCAACAAGCGCAAAGGUUUGGCCAAAUCCAAGAUGCUCAAGUCCUUGUAUCGCAGCAAGCCGAAGGCGGAGGCGACCGCCCCUCCUCCACUGGCGGCGGCGGCGGUGGGGUUUAUUAUCAUGAAGCAGGAUCAAGCCUUUCCUGCACAUCACAACUCAAAAGUCGCAUUCGUCGACGCCGAAUACGGCAAACUGGAGAACUUCUACAGCGACGAAGCCGUGGAUGCCAAGGCAGCCAGAUAUAUCUCCGGCGUUCAAGAGAGAUUCCGGCUUGAGCUCAUCAAUUCAGAGACCAUCAAUAUGCAGCUCAUGUAGCUAUUCAACAUACAUGUAUAAGAAUGCUUACUUCAAUUAAUUGUUAUCUCAAAUGCGUUUUAGUUUGCGUGUUUGUCUAUAUAAAUCAUAAUCUACUUAAAAAUUAAAUUUAGGAUUUUUCCAGUCUUGCUCACUACAACAAAUUAAAAACUGGAUACGACAUAGCUUCGAAGAUAUCAGUUUUUCUCAAAAUUAGCUAUGGAAAAAAAAAAUCAGUGUCUCGUGUUUUUCUGUUAAUUAACUAUAACUGCAUAUAGAGCACCAGGUCGACAAUUGGAAUAUUCAUUUUUUAUUUUUCCCACUUUAAUGUUGGUGUCCCAAUCGUGUUCUACACUCAUUUUUAUUGUUUUUAUUUUCCGUUCUAUUACCACCCAAAAAAAAAUCAAUUGGCAACAGUUUUUUCCGUUGCUAAAUAUGCUUCAAUGCUUUGAACUAACAAAUAGAGAAAAAAAAAUCCACCACCAACACAAGUAACCAGUUACUUCCAAGAUUUCACAAAAAUCCAAAUAUAGUGGAAUCCAACACCUUACCCAAAAUUCGCUAAAAUAUAUUAUGGACUCUUAAGUUAAAUUAUAGAAAUUUUAUAUUGAAAUAUUUUUUUAAGGGUAAAAUAUAUUGCUUUAUUCACUGAGGCUGUCUUUCACAAUAUUCUUUAACUAAUUAAGUGGAAAAAUUAUCGGUCUACCAGUUUGGCCAAUUGCUAUGCAUAUAUAGCAAAUUGUGCUAGACUAUGAUCGAGAGCUAACAUGCUCUAUUCAUUGAUAAGUAUAUAACAAAUACCAAACAACGUAUACUUAAUUGCGAGCUAAUUUUGCAAGUUUUCGGACAUCAUUUGGUAACUAGAUCACUAAGUGGUUGUUUGACUAAGUUUAUUUUAAAAAGCUGAUAAGCUUUUAGAACUUAUAAGAGCAUCUCCAAUGCAUGGUGUCUUAGGGGUGUUUUAGAUGGUGGUCCCCACCUAAGACACACCCCUCUCCAAUGCGUUGAGUCUUAGAGAGUGUCUUCGAUCCUCAUUUCCACAAAAUACAUAUUUCUACACUUUUAUUUUUAAAUUCUCAAUUUCAUUAAAAUUAAAAUUAAAAUUAAAAUUAAACAUUACAAUAAUUAAAAUAAAAUUAAAGACAUAAUUAAAAAAUUUACAUAAUUUUAAUAAUAAUAAAAUACAAUAAUUAAAAUUAACAAGAAAUAUUACUAAUUUAAAUACAAUACAAUGAAUUAAAUAACAAUAAUUAAAAAUUGGGCUAAAAAUUAAAAGGAAUUAAAAAAGUCAAAUCAAUUACCUACCCACCCACCGACCCGCCCCACCCCACCCCACCCCACCCCACCCCACCCCACUCUUUUCUUCUUCUUCUUCCCCCAUCUCUCCUCUCUUCUGUAAUUGUUCAUUUUUUUUUUAAUUCCGCGCGUCUCCCACACACGAUCAUCUUUUCUCUCCUUCGCCCUGGGUCUCCGCUAAGCCUCUGCUUCGAACCACCCAGGUUCUCCAACGUGGCGCAGCAAUGGAAGGCUCGGAUCAACGCCUCCUUCGAUCCGGGCAUUGGAGAUGCUCUCAGUGGUCUUGAGANACACAAAUUUUCCUGUGCAACCGGUUGCACCAUGCAAUAUUUAAUUCAGGAAAUGACACUUGAACAUUUUCAAAUGACACUACUUCAACAUACAAAUGACACUUGAAGAUCUUCAAAUGUCAUUUAUAUGUAGAAGUAGUGUCAUUCAGAAACUAGUUGCACGGUGCAACCGGUUGCACGGGAGAGUGUCUCUUUAUAAAAUAUGAAAACAUAACGUAGAGUUUAAUUGUCACCCAUUUCUUAGUAAAUUCCAGUGUGAAAAUCGAUGGACCACUGUUAUCACGCGUUAUUUAUUUUGGGAAAAGAUCUGAUAAUUAAUCCAAAUUAAUCGCUAUCUAAUUAAACUUGUACCGAAAGCAAAAAAAAAAAAAAAGGACAGCAUGCAUGUCCAUGCAACUGUGUAUAUAUAUCCGAAGAAGUAGUCUCUCUCUCUCACAUCAUAUUCUACAUUCACACAAAACACUCAAUAUCAAAGAAUUGAAUAAUGGAGUCCAACCGCAGCAACAAGCGCAAAGGUUUGGCCAAAUCCAAGAUGCUCAAGUCCUUGUAUCGCAGCAAGCCGAAGCCGGAGGCGACCGCCCCUCCUCCACUGGCGGCGGCGGCGGUGGGGUUUAUUAUCAUGAAGCAGGAUCAAGCCUUUCCUGCACAUCACAACUCAAAAGUCGCAUUCGUCGACGCCGAAUACGGCAAACUGGAGAACUUCUACAGCGACGAAGCCGUGGAUGCCAAGGCAGCCAGAUAUAUCUCCGGCGUUCAAGAGAGAUUCCGGCUUGAGCUCAUCAAUUCAGAGACCAUCAAUAUGCAGCUCAUGUAGCUAUUCAACAUACAUGUAUAAGAAUGCUUACUUCAAUUAAUUGUUAUCUCAAAUGCGUUUUAGUUUGCGUGUUUGUCUAUAUAAAUCAUAAUCUACUUAAAAAUUAAAUUUAGGAGUUCUUCCAGUCUUGCUCACUACAACAAAUUAAAAACUGGAUACGACAUAGCUUCGAAGACAUCAGUUUUUCUCAAAAUUAGCUAUGGAAAAAAAAAAUCAGUGUCUCGUGUUUUUCUGUUAAUUAACUAUAACUGCAUAUAGAGCACCAGGUCGACAAUUGGAAUAUUCUAUUUUUUAUUUUUCCCACUUUAAUGUUGGUGUCCCAAUCGUGUUCUACACUCAUUUUUAUUGUUUUUAUUUUCCGUUCUAUUACCAC